AUGGUCUACCCCGCCAUCCCGCUGGUCAUUCCACCAACCAUCCUUAUCAAUGUGAACAAGCUGGAGAGAGCUUUCUUAUGGUCUGGUUCGGACAAGACGACGGGAAAAAAAUGCAAGGUGAAUUGGGAGAUUGUUUGUCGGCCUCUUGAGUAUGGGGGGCUUGGGGUUCUCAACACCGACAAGUUCACUCGGGCUCUCAGGUUGCGGUGGCCGUGGUAUGAAUGGAAGGAUGCCACCAAGAUGUGGGUGGGGAUGGGAUACCCAUGCAACGAGGAGGACCUCAAUUUUUUCUAUGCUUCCACCACCAUCAUCGUUGGUAACGGCGCGAAGACCCCCUUUUGGGACUCUCCUUGGCUCCUUGGACGCAAGCCUAAGGACAUUGCUCCGCUCAUCUAUGAGGCCUCCAAGAGAAAAAAAUGGAAGGUGCGGGAGGCGCUCAAGCACAAUGCGUGGAUACUCAUGAUCAAACCCCCCACCGUUGUUUCUGUUGAGCACGUCACACAGUUCUUCGCUCUUUGGAUGCUCCUCCUUGAGGUCCAUCUCGACGAUCUCACCGAGGACGACAUCCUUUGGAAAGAUACGGCAAGUGGGCAAUACUCGGCGGCCGCUGCAUACAAGGCGCAAUACCUAGGGAUGGUCCUCUCACCCAUGGAUAAGAUGGUUUGGAAGGCUUGGGCACCUUCAAAAAUCAAAUUUUUUGCUUGGUUGGCGCUCCAAGAUAGAAUUUGA
rnacentral:rRNA from 1 species